rnacentral:lncRNA from 1 species
ACCAUCUUGUAUAUCAGGUGUGUUUAUAUUCAAAUGUACUUUUUGAGUUACUAAGCUCUGAUAUUUAUGAAAGCAAAAUGUGAAUGUUCAUGCUUCAAUGUUUUACUCUCUAUUAGGUAUGUGCUAUUAACUGGCAUGAAGUUGGCUUUGCCAAUUAACAAGGAGUUAACGAUCAUGCUCUGAGCUAGUACUAGCCAGAGUGUAGUGCGCACGGAAGUCGGAACUGGGUAGAACUUGGUCAGGUUCCUCAGUUCUGAUGAAGGGAAUCGUAUGUGGAAGAAAUUCCUGGACGAUCAUACAGUUAUAAGUUUACCAAUAGUAGAGGCAGAUAAAGAAGUAAAGUUUGUAUGCUUAUGAUGUAUGAUUUAUGUUUAAAAGCUUCAUAUGCAUACUGUUAAGNAUAUCCCGAUAUGCCCUUUAGAGGUACGUAAAUUUCGAGGACGAAAUUUAUUUUAAGGGGAGAGUAUGUAAUAUCCCUAUAGAAAUUGUCAAUAGAUUUAUUUAGUAAGUAUAGAAAUUAAAUUCUUUAGAGUUAGAAUAAGUGGAUUCGCACCCGGAAAAAAGAAAUAAUGAAAUCAUGCAUUAAUAUUACUAGUUGUGCUUUGUGCAAAUAUUUAUUUUUAUUGAAUUAAAUUACCUACUUUAGUGUAUGUAUAUAUAUAUAUGUCAUAUUAAAAUAGAAGUAUUAUAUAUAUAUAUAUACACACGUUUGUGUGUGCUUGUGUUUUAUAUAGGUGUAGAUAAAGGUAAGGACAAAAAAGGUAGUAUAUACAUAUUUAUGGAUUUACAUGCUUAAUAAAAAGGAUUCUAGAAUAAUCUUGUGUGUGCAUGUUAAUUUUUAAGUUUAUAUUAAAGUUACAAGUGUCCUUUCUUUUAUUUAUUUUUAAUUCUCAAGCAUUCUAUAUGUAUAAAAACAUCUAAUUAACUUACUUGCCUCCUACUUUUCGAUAGAACACUAGUUUUGAGAGAAGGUGAAUAAUAGAGUUUAAGGUCUUCAUGCUUCUCAUGGAUUCUUUUAAUUCUUGAAAUUAGGUGUUCAUAUAGGGCUAAUUUUGUGAAAGGUUUAUGUUAGAAUCAUGAUAUAAAGUUUGUAUAGAAAGUGCAUAUAGAGUCAAGGGCUGAAAUCCCCUGUUUCGGCCAGAAUCUUUAUCAAUUCGUUGAGCUUGUUUCUAUAGCUAAAAUGAAGAAUAUCGAUUAUAAAUUUUCUGUGCGUAAAAUAGCGCUUCUAAUAUCGAAUACUAAUUUCAGAAGUUUUAAUGAAGAAUUAGUAUUUUUAAAAAUGGUGGAAAAUUAUUGCGAAAACUGUGAAAAAACCCCUGUCUUGGCAGUAGCUUUCACCUAAUGUUUUGAUACGUUUUAAGGGUCAUUUUGAUUUGAAAAUUUUACGGAAUCAACUUUAUUAUGUUUUUAGCCUUCAUGUAAAAUUUCAUAGCUAUUGGAGUUCAUCUUAUAUGUUUACUCUUAGUUUUAAAAAUGUUGGUCAAAAUCGAACAGUUUUGCUAAGUUAUGGUACAAGGUGUAUUACUCUCUGUUAGUUUGGUAUUUUUGAGCCCCAAUUUAUUUUUAAUGAAACUAGACAUUCAUAGGUUUCUAGAAAUAUAUGGCUUAUAUUUUUAUCCAUUUUAUACAAUAAUUUACAAAUUUUCCAAAUAAGUUAGUUUACAGUGGUGUUUUAUUGGACAGUUAUUUUAGUUAAUGUUUCACAAAUUAUUUGAAAGGUCAUAUAUAGUUAUAUUAAUCUGAAACUUUUCCCAUAUUAAUUAUAAUGUUUUGUGAUAUUGUGUUUUGAAUUUCAGCAGUAUUUGAUGAGAUUUAAUAUUUUUCAAGUAAUUUCUAAUUAUAUAGUCUGAAACUGUCUAUUUUUGGUAGAUCAUACUAAAUUGUACACAUAUCAUAAUCUAGUAAUUAUUUUAGUUCAUAGUUUCUUCUACAAUACAAUAGACAUCUAGAGGUUUUCAAAACCAUAUGUCAUAUUCUCUGAUUCAUUUUCAAUGAAUUGAUAAUAUUUUUUUGAAAUUGAGUAAAAUUUAGAAGAUAUUGUGUACUAUUGCAUAUAUAAAGUUUUCAAGUAUGGUUUAGUUUGCUAAGGUGAAUAUGUGCAAUGUGUAAUGUGAUUUGACUUAUUAGUAUAUGCUUUAGUGAUUUAAAGUUUGACUAUGUGAUUUGCAUAUUCAUGAUAUACUAAAAUUUUAUAUUUAUUAAUUUGGUGUUGCGAAUCUAGGAUUAAAGUAUGGACUUAUGAUGAAGGAUAGAUUAUAUAAGAUGGGUUUUACAGACUUAGUUCGUCUUUACUAAACCUAAGGUUUAUAUUGUAGGCCCAACUGAAGAGGAUAUCUAAGUGGGAACCACUCUAUAGCAAGACCUGAACCAUCUUGUAUAUCAGGUGUGUUUAUGUUCAAAUGUACUUUUUGAGUUACUAAGCUCUGAUAUUUAUGAAAGCAAAAUGUGAAUGUUCAUGCUUCAAUGUUUUACUCUCUAUUGGGUAUGUGCUAUUAACUGGCAUGAAGUUGGCUUUGCCAAUUAACAAGGAGUUAACGAUCGUGCUCUGAGCUAGUACUAGCCAGAGUGUAGUGCGCACGGAAGUCAGAACUGGGUAGAACUUGGCCAGGUUCCUCAGUUCUGAUGAAGGGAAUCGUAUGUGGAAGAAAAUUCCUCGACGAUCAUACAGUUAUAAGUUUUACCAAUAGUAGAGGCAGUUAAAGAAAGUAAAGUUUUGUAUGCUUAUGAUGUAUGAUUUAUGUUUAAAAGCUUCAUAUGCAUACUGUUAAGCAUGAAACAUUUUAUAUUACGGUUCUUUUCAAAUGUUUUAUAAACGGCAAUAGCACACUGAGUACAAUAGUGCUCAGCCAAAUCUUUUUAAAAUGUUUGCAGGUUGAGCGGCGGAUGUGGAGUGUGGUGCUGAGAUGAAGAUCUUUUUUUCUAUUGUAUAUAACUAGUUCCUUUAAUGGAACAACUCUUUUGUGUAUCUCCACCCGCUUCCUAUUUUGUAUAUCAUGACGACUCUUGUACAGUUUACUAAUGUAAAUUGAUCUUAUCUUACGCUUUGGGUUCAGACCAUUCUCUACUCGGUUAAAUUCGGUUUACAUUCACUUCUAGUUAUUUAGUUCUCUUGUAGUCAUGCUCCGACAUUUAUACAUUCUUUUU